GGACAGGACAGAGAACACAGAGAUAGAUCUACACACAUAAAGACUCCUAAUAAAAAUAAUAAUUCUUAAUGAUGAUAUCAUAAAAUAAUAAAUUGAUAAAUACGACGUCAUUAAAAUCAAAACUUCUCUUCCUGCAACACUUUUAAGAGAAUGAAAAGAUAAGGUGAGCCAUAUUUUUGUUUUGGUUUUUUCUUUUUUUUGAGACAGGGUCUCGCUCUGUCGCUCAGGCUGGAGUGCAGUUGCGCGAUCUCCGCUUAAGUGAAUCUUGUGCCUCAGCCUCCUGAGUAGCUGAGGUUACAGACUUGCAUCACCACCCUCGGCUAACUUUUGCAUUUUUAGUAGAGUCGGGGUUUGGCAAAUCAGUACACAAAAACCUGUUCAACAUCGUUAUUUAAUAGGAAAAUGCCAAUUAAAACCAUGAUAAGAUCCCAUCACACAGCUAUUAAACUGACACAGAUUUCAAAGAUUGACCCUAUCAAGUGUGGGUGAAGACGUGCAGGAACUGAAACUGUAAUAUAUCACUGAGGGGGUUGUAAAAUGGUGAAACACUUUAGAAAAUAAUUUGGCAGUUUUUUUUAAAUGAAGAACGAUACACGAUAGUCCUUCCACCCCUAAAGAUUACCCAUGAGACAUGAAAGCA
rnacentral:lncRNA from 1 species